rnacentral:lncRNA from 1 species
CCCCUGGGCUAACAGGCCAAGGGAAAAACCUCAAUGGCGCCCACCGGGGUCUGUGUCAGCAUGCCUGGACCAGCUCAGAACAAUGGCCCCCACCAAUGUCUUAGUCUCCAGAGAGGUCCCUCCUCUCACCAGAGCCCACCCAGGUCCUGCAGCAUGAUGCUACAGCUGCCGCCGUUGUGCAUGGAUGAGGAGCGAGAGAACCCCUUCCACAGUUCCUGGUCAGUGAAGACGUCUAGAAAGAACAAAUCAUCUCCUGAUGCCCUCCGUGGUGAUUCUCCCGUCUGUUAUUUAUGACACCCCUCCAGCACUGCUCGGCCCAACAUCUCAGUCGUCUUGUCCUACCAGGUACUUAUGUUUGUCCAGUUCAUCGUCAGAAGGAUUUCCAGCUGAUAUUUUGGCUGUGGCGGGAAGAGCCCUGGGACUGGGAAUUCUGGUUCUGGAAAGGAUUCCCUCAUGCUUAUGCAGUUCAGUCUCCU